AGUGAACGCUGGCGGUAGGCCUAACACAUGCAAGUCGAACGGCAGCACAGGAGAGCUUGCUCUCUGGGUGGCGAGUGGCGGACGGGUGAGGAAUACAUCGGAAUCUGCCCAGUCGUGGGGGAUAACGUAGGGAAACUUACGCUAAUACCGCAUACGACCUUCGGGUGAAAGAGGGGGAUCGCAAGACCUCUCGCGAUUGGAUGAGCCGAUGUCGGAUUAGCUAGUUGGCGGGGUAAUGGCCCACCAAGGCGACGAUCCGUAGCUGGUCUGAGAGGAUGAUCAGCCACACUGGAACUGAGACACGGUCCAGACUCCUACGGGAGGCAGCAGUGGGGAAUAUUGGACAAUGGGCGCAAGCCUGAUCCAGCCAUACCGCGUGGGUGAAGAAGGCCUUCGGGUUGAAAAGCCCUUUUGUUGGGAAAGAAAUCUUUCAGGCUAAUACCCUGGGAGGAUGACGGUACCCAAAGAAUAAGCACCGGCUAACUUCGUG
rnacentral:rRNA from 1 species